GCCAUCUUUGUAUUAUUUCUAAUUUAUUUUGGAUGUCAAAAGACAUUGAUGAAGAUAUUUUCUCUGGAGUCUCCUUCCUCUCUAACCCGUCUCUCCCGAUGUGAACCGAGCGACUCACAAGCCACCGAAGCCACCAACCCACCAUGUCGCGCCGCAAGCAAGGCAAACCCCAGCACUUAAGCAAACGGGAAUUUUCACCCGAACCUCUUGAAGCCAUUCUCACUGAUGACGAACCUGACCAUGGCACGUUGGGAGCUCCAGAAGGGGACCACGACCUCCUCACUUGUGGCCAGUGUCAGAUGAACUUCCCGUUGGGGGACAUUCUUAUUUUUAUUGAGCACAAACGGAAACAAUGCAAUGGCAGUCUCUGCUUAGAGAAGGCUGUGGAUAAGCCACCUUCACCCUCACCAAGUGAGCUGAAAAAAGCAUCCAAUCCCGUGGAGGUUGGCAUCCAGGUUACGCCAGAGGAUGACGAUUGUUUAUCAACGUCAUCUAGAGGAAUUUGCCCAAAACAGGAACAUAUAGCAGGUAAAGACGAGCCCAGCAGCUACACGUGCACGACUUGUAAACAGCCUUUCAACAGCGCCUGGUUCCUCUUGCAGCACGCACAGAACACGCACGGCUUACGGAUCUACCUAGAAAGCGAGCACGGCAGCCCCCUGACGCCACGGGUUGGUAUCCCAUCAGGACUAGGUGCAGAGUGCCCUUCCCAGCCACCUCUCCACGGGAUUCACAUUGCAGACAAUAACCCUUUUAACCUGCUCAGAAUACCCGGCUCGGUCUCGAGAGAGGCGUCGGGGCUGGGAGAAGGGCGAUUCCCACCCACGCCGCCCCUCUUUAGCCCUCCCCCGAGGCACCAUUUGGAUCCGCAUCGCAUAGAGCGCCUGGGUGCGGAAGAAAUGGCUCUGGCCACCCAUCACCCUAGUGCCUUCGACAGGGUGCUGCGACUGAACCCCAUGGCGAUGGAGCCGCCCGCUAUGGAUUUCUCCCGGCGGCUGCGGGAGCUGGCCGGCAACACCUCCAGCCCGCCCUUGUCCCCGAGCCGGCCCAGCCCUAUGCAAAGGCUGCUGCAGCCCUUCCAGCCCGGCAGCAAGCCCCCGUUCCUGGCCACGCCGCCCCUUCCUCCUCUGCAGUCCGCUCCUCCUCCCUCCCAGCCGCCCAUGAAGUCCAAGUCGUGCGAGUUCUGCGGGAAGACCUUCAAGUUCCAGAGCAACUUGGUGGUCCACCGCCGGAGCCACACCGGGGAGAAGCCCUACAAGUGCAACCUCUGCGACCACGCCUGCACGCAGGCCAGCAAGCUGAAGCGCCACAUGAAGACGCACAUGCACAAGUCGUCCCCCAUGACGGUGAAGUCGGAUGAUGGGCUCUCCACCGCCAGCUCCCCCGAACCGGGCACCAGCGACCUGGUCGGCAGUGCCAGCAGCGCCCUCAAGUCGGUGGUGGCCAAGUUCAAGAGCGAGAAUGACCCCAACAUGAUCCCCGAGAACGGGGAUGAGGAGGAGGAGGAGGAGGAGGAGGAAGAGGAGGAGGAGGAGGAGGAAGAGGAAGAGGACUUGAACGAGAAUGAGAGGCCGGACUACGGCUUCGGGAUGAACCUGGAGGCGGCCCGCCACCAUGAGAACAACUCCAGGGCCGGCGAGGAGAGCCGGUCGAUGCCGGACGUCAUGCAAGGUAUGGUCCUCAGCUCCAUGCAGCACUUCAGCGAGGCCUUCCACCAGGUGCUGGGGGAGAAGCACAAACGGGGCCACCUCUCCGAGGCCGAGGUGCACAGGGACACUUGCGACGAAGACUCGGUGGCCGGCGAGUCUGACCGCAUCGACGACGGGGCGGUCAACGGCCGGGGCUGCUCCCCGGGGGAGUCCGCCUCGGGCGGCUUGUCCAAAAAGCUGCUGCUGGGUAGCCCCAGCUCCCUGAGCCCCUUCUCCAAACGCAUCAAGCUGGAGAAGGAGUUCGACCUGCCUGCCGCCGCCAUGCCCAACACCGAAAACGUUUACUCCCAGUGGCUGGCCGGCUACGCUGCCUCGCGGCAGCUGAAGGACCCCUUCCUCAGCUUCGGCGACUCCCGACAAUCGCCCUUCGCCUCCUCCUCCGAGCACUCGUCGGAGAACGGCAGCCUGCGCUUCUCCACGCCGCCGGGCGAGCUGGAUGGCGGCAUCUCGGGCCGCAGCGGCACGGGAAGCGGAGGGAGCACCCCGCAUAUUAGUGGCCCGGGCCCUGGCAGGCCCAGCUCAAAAGAGGGCAGACGCAGCGACACUUGUGAGUACUGUGGGAAAGUCUUCAAGAACUGUAGUAAUCUCACUGUCCACAGACGGAGCCACACGGGCGAGCGGCCCUAUAAGUGUGAGCUUUGCAACUACGCCUGCGCCCAGAGUAGCAAGCUCACCCGGCACAUGAAAACACAUGGUCAGGUGGGAAAGGACGUUUACAAAUGCGAGAUUUGUAAGAUGCCUUUUAGCGUGUACAGUACCCUGGAGAAACACAUGAAAAAAUGGCACAGUGAUCGAGUCUUGAAUAAUGAGAUAAAAACUGAAUAGAGGUAUAUUAAUACUCCCCGUCCCCGCCCCGGCUCCCUGUAGAGGUUUUCUAGUCCCUCGUGAUUAAACUAAUGGAAGCUAAGGAUAUUCAGAAAGUGCUUGUCACCAGCACACCUGUUUAUUUUCUUUUUGUUCUCACCGUUUGAAUGCAUGAUCUGUAUCGGGGCAAUACUAUUGCAUUUUACGCAAACUUUGAGCCUUUCUCUUGUGCAAUAAUUUACAUGUUGUGUAUGUUGUUUUUUUUUUUUUUUUAAUUUUUUAUUUUUUAUUUUGAAUUAGACAGCAUGUAUGGUAUGUUAUGGCUAUUUUUUAAAUUGUCCCUGAUUAGUUGCUGAGCAAACACGUCGCUGUUUCCAGUUCCGUUCGGAAAAAAAAAAGAAAAAAAAAAGAAAAAAAAAAGAAAAAAAAGAGGAAAAGAGAAAAGCGAAACAAAACAAAAACGAGAGCAAACAAAACCAACCAUGCUGCAUACAUCCUGUAAUACAUAUCAUGUACAGUUUUGUUUUGUAACGUGCGAAGGAAAACGCGCUUUGGGUAACCCUCUACGGACAGGACCGAUAGCACUGAAGAAGCGUUGCGUUAGCUAGAUUUCUGUCUUAAAAGAAUAAACGUACCGAUUGGACACAGAGUACUGAUUAGGAAAAGGCCUUUAAUUGAAGCCCAGCCCUCCGCCACCGGUAACCGAGAGGUGCGACGUACCCCCCCGGCUGGCGCAGCGCCCAGGGAGCCCCGGACGCCUGGCAGUUUUCGGACGGAAGUUCAAGAGCACUUAAAUUCUGAGAGGAGGUGAAGCUGGGGCCAGCGGCCGGUGGUGGCGUGGUGUCCGGAGGUGGCCUCCAUCCUGCUGGCUCGCCGCGUCCCUGGAGCACCCGAGACGUCCCCUCCGAAGGCAGCGCUCCCCAGGCUCCUCCUGCCCGCAGGACUAUCGUAUUUAUAUUUUGUAAUAGAGUACAGCACUUCUUUCCGUUCGGUUUUUGUUUGUUUAUUUCUUUUUCUAAAAACGAAAAGCAAAAGCGCCCACCGAGGUCGAGGGCUUCGCAGUGGCUUUGACUGGCUCCUGUCCCCGUGGAGAAGACUGUCUUGCUCUCGUGUUGAUCCUGCGUGGAGGACCCAGCCUGUUGUUUAUCUCCAUUUCUUAGAAGGUGCACCUCACGUUACCAAUUCAAAAUAAAACACGGUGUAGGUCCGUGGCGGGUGGGCAAUCGCCAUAAUAAAUGCUGGAGCUAUAGGUUUUGUUCGCUCUUUCUUUAAUCUGUAGUGUGUGAGCAGGCUGGCCAGGGCCGGGCAGCUGCCGUGACCCCGUGUGACUGUGCUGCCCGCAGGAGCAAAGCGCCGAGUCCGCGGGGACAGCGGCAGCACCCGUGUCCCCACCUGGGCACCGUGGGCUGGUGGCCCCACAUCGGGCCCCCCCCCGGGCACCGGGCUCACGGCCGCGACCCCGAGCCGUGGCCAGCCGAGCGCUCCAACGCCGCCCGCGUACGAUUGACUGCCGCCGGCUGCUGUACUGCAUUUCUGCUGUUAAACCCUGUGCUUUUGGGGUGGGGGGCAUCAGGGACUGCCUCUGUCUUGUCACUGCUCGUCAAACUGCGGCCGAGCCAGCGGGUUUGGGGAGUGGUAAUGGUCUUGCUGCAGAGAAUUGGUCAGUGCCAGGUGAAGCGAAGCCCUGCCCUGGCUGGGUGGUGGCGGGGAGCUCCCCUCAGUGCCAUCGGGUGUCCUCGCAUCCCGCUGUCCCCUCUGAGCCCGCUUGCCUUGCUCCGAGCAAAGCACCCGCUCCAGGAUUUCCCUGGUUUGGGGCCCAAGUGCUUUGCGGAACAGAAGAUGGGUUAAGUGCGUGCUUCCCUGCUGUCUUGGAUGGGAUUUAUAGGCUGCAGCUCCCGGCGACUGUGCCGGAGAGCAGGAAUGGGCCUUAUUUGGUUAAAGAGCGAGCGGAGCCGCUGCAGGGCUGCCAGGACACCCGCUGCAGGUCUGGGCAGGACGCAGCAGCCCCAGGUCAGGGACCAGCCUGCUGCUUCGGUCACCGAGCUCUGCCUGCGAGUUCGCUCACGUCCUUCACAUCCCAGCCAGACACCUGGCCGGGGCCACGCUCUCCUGGCAAACCAGCCAUAGGUACCGUGGCUUUGCCUUUGCCUGGUGUUGCUCUUCUUUAUGUAAUUUUUGUGAACAGCUGCAGCCCCACCUGGGUACCUCCGCAGCUGUGCCACACCAGGGCUAACGGGGCUCUGCUUCGUCUCCAAAUCACACUACCAGGAGCACCUGGCCCAAUGGUUGCAACCAGUGGCAGCUGUGAGGGUGUUGAGCAGCUCUUGGGUCUGUCUUUGUGCUCUGCUUUGUCUGAGUGCAGGCAAAACUCAGUUCUGCAGCUGCUUUGUGGUGCUGCUGAAGCAGCCUCUUGGGCAUUCAGUGCUCGGAUGCAGCGGGCUGGGUCCGUGGGCAUCGCUGCCCUGUGGCAGUGGGAGCCAGGGCCGGGCUUUUCCUGGGAAGAGCAGAAAAUGACCAAGCAGGGACUGGUGCAGGCGCCUGGCGAGCAGCUGAGCGUGGCAGGGAGAAGCUGUGUGGAUCCUUGUCCUAAGCACUGAAGGUAAAUUGAAGCAGCCCUUAAGAUGUCUGUUCUGUAACAUGGGCGUUAAAACCCCGCACCUACCAGGAGUUUUACACCCACAGACUUUACGUGUUGCCUUAAAGUGAUUAAAUACGCGUAAUGGCCACGCUGGGAGCCUCCUGCAGGCCCUGGGGCUGCUCUCCUGUGCUCGUGGCCACGUCCUGCCCGCUGGGUCCAUCCUGAGCGCGCACGAAGCAGCGGCACUGCCUCAGCACCAGGCUGCAGCGGGGCUGUGCGGGCUUCCACCGCCACGCGUGGCUUGUUGCAGGGGUGGCUCCCCUUCUCUUGGCUUGUUUGUGGGUUUUGGCUGGGACCUGGCUGUUGCAAAGCCUGCGGCUGUACCCUGAGGUGUGGGAGAUUUAACAGCCCAAAGAAGAGCUCUGUGUUUCUCCGUGCAGCGGGCAGCGAUAGGCUGAGCUGAGCAAGGUGCCUGGGAAUUAGGUAGCUUAGCUUUGAUUUGGGGGAUUGAAAAGCUGCUCUCAAACAUGAAGGCAUUUUGUCCAUGCUGUUUUUUAUUUCUAAGCCCAUUUUCCUGACACUACAAUUCAGCAAAGGUCAAGUCUCUUGUGAAGUCUAACCUAAAUUUUGCUUUCAAAAUAAUGUGUGUUUCGGAUUCAAGGAGCAGCCAGGUUACAUCCUCUUUACAAUGUAGAGAGGGGGGCACGCGGGCGUGCAGGCGCCUGUUGGGCACAGUCUCUCCAAAAUGACCUGAAAACAGAUCUAAUAAUCUGCCAGCAGCAGCAAACCACCCCCAAAGCCCCGCUUCUCUUUUUGAUCCCAGCUUUGUCCCAUCUCAUCCUGCCAAGUGACGCCAGCGGCCUGGAGGGCCUGGGGCUCGGCGUUCCUCAGCGGCAGCAGAGCAAGGGGAGGGGGGGGCGAGCUCCUGCUGGACUUUAUUUUGCUGAACAUCCUAUUUGUCCUGAACGUCCCAUUUAUCCAGUGCUUUCUGCUUCCAUUUCUGGUGCUGAAGCAUUGCAGGUCCCCGGGCUGUGAGGUGUAAGGGACGGCUCAGGGGCCGUGGGCAAUCUGCUGGGCACUGCUGCGGCUCUGGCAGGGGGCUGCUGUGACACCGUGCGUGAUCCCGCUAGGAAAAUUAUGACCAAGGAGCAAGCUAAACAACCCUCCGGGAUCAGAGUGGUACCUCGCUUGCUUCUCGUCUUAUUCUCUGCUUUCUCUGCCCCCAGACUUCCCCAACCCAGCCCUGGCUGGGCUAUCGUUCAGCUGUACGUUGUACAUGAUCCAAAAUCCCAGUCCUUGAGAGCUUGUUGGCCCCCAUCGUGGCACACCCUGAGCCUCCCCUCCCCCCCCCCCCCAGAAAUCACCCUCUCAGCAUCCAUCUUCUACGGGGGGUCUCAAAAUAAUCAGUUAUUCUUACGGAAAGAUGAAGUUACAGGGGGAAAAAUAAAACAAAAACACAAAGAAAACCGCUCCAAAAAUACGGCCCUUAUUCCUUAAUCUGGCUGGAUAGAGUUACACAUCUGGUAGAGGCUUGUUCCUUGUUGCUAUUACUUUUAUUGCGUCUUUAGCGGUGAUGAAGUUCAGAUGGCAGGAGCAGUGGGCCCCAAUUUAAUUUCGCCUGGCCUCCCGUAAUGAGCGCUGCGCGAGCUGGGAGCACCGGCGGGGCUCCGCUCCCAGCCCGCGUGGCACGGGCGGGAUGGACAGACGGACAGCGGGACGGACAGACAGACAGACGGCUGGUGGCCAAAGCCUCACGGUGAGGGUGGAAGGAAGGAGAGGUCUGGCCGUGGGGUGGUGGCGGAGGGGCUGGAGGGCUGGUGCGGGGCGAUGCGUCCGUGCCAUCCGCUGGGUGAGCAGCAGGGAAAUGCUGCAGCCGGACAGAUGGACGGACGGGUGGGUGGAUGGACGGAUGGAUGGAUGGAUGGCUUUUUCAUGUCAAAACCUAGAAGCAAGAUGUUCAGGUGGAUUCCCACCUUCUUGGUGGCUGGGGUGAUGCUCUCCUAGGUUGCUCCAGCCCUGGUGGCUCUCCCGUGGCGAUUCUGGGUUCCAGCGGCGAUGUACAGAGGCUCCCACCUCUCCCGGUGCCUGCCGAUGCAUGUGUCUAAGGGCUAUACAGGACUCAUUUAUGGGCCUCCCGUCGGUGGGAUUUGUGCAUGCAAAAUGAAGGUUGUAUUUGGCUUCUAAUAUUCCGAUCUAUAUUCCAUAUUGUGUUGACCAAGAAAACCAACUCAGCCCCGUGCUGAAGAAUGUGAUGGAGUGAUGACUUUCAGAAACGUACUGUAAAUCAAGGAGGCUAAUAAAUACUUGCUAUUGAUAAAAA